GCUGGAAUCGCUAGUAAUCGCGGAUCAGAAUGCCGCGGUGAAUACGUUCCCGGGCCUUGUACACACCGCCCGUCACACCAUGGGAGUCGGAAAUGCCCGAAGUCUGUGACCCAACCGGAAGGAAGGAGCAGCCGAAGGCAGGUCUGAUGACUGGGGUGAAGUCGUAACAAGGUAUC
rnacentral:rRNA from 1 species